AGUGGCGUACGGGUGAGUAAGACAUGGGUAAUCUGCCUUCGAGCGGGGGAUAACCAGCCGAAAGGCUGGCUAAUACCCCAUACGCUUCCGGUCCUUCGGGUAAGGAAGGAAAGCUGCAUCGUGGAUGUGGCACUCGAAGAUGGGCUCAUGGCCUAUCAGCUUGUUGGUGGGGUAACGGCCUACCAAGGCAACGACGGGUAGCUGGUCUGAGAGGACGAUCAGCCACACUGGCACUGAGAUACGGGCCAGACUCCUACGGGAGGCAGCAGUGAGGAAUAUUGCGCAAUGGGCGAAAGCCUGACGCAGCGACGCCGCGUGGGGGAAGAAGGUUUUCGGAUUGUAAACCCCUUUUAGGAGGAAAGAUGGGGUGGUUCGCCACCCGGACGGUACCUCCAGAAAAAGCCACGGCUAACUUCGUGCCAGCAGCCGCGGUAAUACGAAGGUGGCGAGCGUUGUUCGGAUUUACUGGGCGUAAAGAGCACGUAGGCGGUUUAGUCAGCCCCUUGGGAAAGCUACGGGCUUAACCCGUAAAGGUCGAGGGGGACUGCUAAGCUAGAGGGCGGGAGAGGAGCGCGGAAUUCCCG
rnacentral:rRNA from 1 species